UAGGCAAUGGAGUUACCUGGGUUUUCUUUGUGGGUGAGGCUGUACCCCCUGACUGUACCCAAGUGUCCGUGGGUGUACCUGGAAUAUUGUGGGACAAAAAUGGAAACAUCAACAAAUUUUACUGAUGAGAAAACUGCAGUGGCUUGCCCAGAACUGGCAGAGCCAGGAUGGGAUCUGGGCCUCUGGCUCCAGCCCAGCGUCCUUGGGCCUCCAUGUUCUUCUGAAACAUUCAGGGUUCUGGACUGAAUUUUGUCCCCAGCCAAAUUCGUACAUUGAGGUCCUAACUACCAGUCCCUCAGAAUGUGCCUGUAUUUGGAGAUAGAGCCUUUAAAGAGGUGAUGAAGGUAAAAUGAGGUCAUUAGGGUAGGCCUUAAUCCCAUAGGACUUGUGUCCUUAUAAGAAGAGGAGAUUAGGGCCAGGCACCGUGGCUCACGCCUGUCAUCCCAACACUCUGGGAGGCCGAGGCGGGUGGAUCACCUGAGGCCGGAAGUUCGAGACCAGCCUGACCAACAUGGUGAAACCCCGUCUCUACUGAAAAUACAAAAUUAGCUGGGCAUGGUAGUGGGUGCCGUAAUCUCAGCUACUUGGGAGGCUGAGGCAGGAGAAUCGCUCGAACCUGGGAGAUGGAGGUUGCGAUGAGCCAAGAUCGCACCAUUGCACUCCAGCCUGGACAACAAGAGCGAAACUCCGUCUCAAAAAAAAAAAAAAAAAAGAAGAAGAAGAGGAGAUUAGGACACACACACAGGGAAGAC
rnacentral:lncRNA from 10 species